rnacentral:rRNA from 1 species
GACAGAGGUCCCAAGCGUUAGGCGGAAUCACUGGGCUUAAAGCGUGUGUAGGCGGAUUUGUAAGUACCUUGUGAAAUCCCACGGCUUAACCGUGGAACUGCUCGGUAUACUGCUUAUCUUGAGCCACUUAGGGGCAACCGGAACAAACGGUGGAGCGGUGAAAUGCGUAGAUAUCAGGAGGAACACCGGUGGCGAAGGCGGUUCUCUGGGCAUGAUCUGACGCUGAGGAGCGAAAGUGUGGGGAGCGAACAGG